GGCGAAAUCAUGAUGCACAGUGACAUAGACAAAAUCUUCAAAACCAGAGGUUCUACAUUGGGAUCUUCUUCUUCUUCUUCUCUUAUUGUUUUAUGGCGGUUGGCAAUCAAGGAAAUGGUGCAUUACCGCCACCAACUGUGUUAAAUCCACUGUGGCAUCUGGGAGUAUCCAAGGUGGAAUUACAGACAUUGGUACUGUUGGACUGACAUUCAACGGUUUAAGAAUAUCCUGUGCUGGAUGAUCCUCCCUGUGCCCUUGCUCUCUCGCCCAGCCUGUUCAGGGAGUGAUUUGCUGAAAAAAGGAUCCUCUGCCUGACAGGAACACCAGACUCCUCCCUGGUUGAGAA